rnacentral:rRNA from 1 species
CAGUAGCCGCGGGAAUACGUAGGGUGCGAGCGUUAAUCGGAAUUACUGGGCGUAAAGCGUGCGCAGGCGGUUGUGUAAGACAGGUGUGAAAUCCCCGGGCUAACCUGGGAACUGCGCUUGUGACUGCACAGCUAGAGUAUGGCAGAGGGGGGUGGAAUUCCACGUGUAGCAGUGAAAUGCGUAGAGAUGUGGAGGAACACCGAUGCGAAGGCAAUCCCCUGGGCCUGCACUGACGCUCAUGCACGAAAGCGUGGGGAGCAAACAGGAUUAGAUACCCGAGUAGUCCCUGUCUCUUAUACAC